rnacentral:rRNA from 1 species
UACGGAGGGUGCAAGCGUUAAUCGGAAUUACUGGGCGUAAAGCGCACGCAGGUGGCUGAGUCAGUCGAUUGUGAAAGCCCUGGGCUUAACCUGGGAAUUGCAGUCGAUACUACUCAGCUAGAGUAUGGGAGAGGGCAGUGGAAUUCCCGGUGUAGUGGUGGAAUGCGUAGAUAUCGGGGGGAAUACCAGUGGCGAAAGCGGCACCCUAGCGUUAGCCUGACGCUCAUGUGCGAAAGCGUGGGGAGCGAACGGG